AGGGUUUUAAGUUAAUUAAAACUAUUGUCCUUCAAAGACAAAAAUACUAAAUACCAAGCAUUUAUUAACCCCUA
rnacentral:tRNA from 1 species